rnacentral:rRNA from 1 species
UACGUAGGGUGCGAGCGUUAAUCGGAAUUACUGGGCGUAAAGUGUGCGCAGGCGGCCGCGCAAGUCGAGUGUGAAAGCCCCGAGCUUAACUUGGGAACUGCGCUCGAAACUACGUGGCUGGAGUGUGGCAGAGGAAGGUGGAAUUCCACGUGUAGCGGUGAAAUGCGUAGAGAUGUGGAGGAACACCAAUGGCGAAGGCAGCCUUCUGGGCCAACACUGACGCUCAUGCACGAAAGCGUGGGGAGCAAACAGG